rnacentral:lncRNA from 1 species
UCGAAAGUCUCACCGGGCGUAAGUACCCAAAUCUAUUGAACUUACUUCAAACAUUAGAUUAGCUUUAUAGAACUAUUACCAUAUCUUGAACGAAUUUGACUAUAAGCUGAAAAGGAUUUUGAUUUCUGAUAUCGCUGUUAGUAGUCCAUUUGUUCCUGCAUCUUACUUCUUAUGUAGGGUGUUCACUGUUUAUCUAGAUUAAGCAAUUUUCUUCCCUCGGUUGGAAUAUCCUGAAAAUGACUUAUUUGAAAAUCACCUGCGAAAGAGAAAACUAGAUUAGUAAAAAAAUCAGCAAGAGCAUUUCCUUACCUAAGGGAAUGUUGUACUCUUGCUGAAACACUUCUUUGCAAUCUCCUGAUGGUAUUGACUUCCAAAGCCACAUUCCAUGGCACAUCCCAGACUCCAUCUAUUAUAUGAACCAUUGCUAAUGAGUUUGUUUCAAUAAUAGGAUUAGCAAUAUCAUGCUCACUACAAUAUGAAAGACUUUCUUUUAUAGCUCUAGCUUCUGCUACCAUGUUUGUAGUAUCCUGAAUUUUGAAUCCUUUAGCAACCACCAAAUUACCAUUAUGAUCCCUGAUGCAAAAUGCUGCUAGACUAGGUCCAGGAUUUCCUUUUGAUUGUUACACUUCAACAUAUUAUUAGGAGGGGGUUCCCAUCUAACAAUUUUAUAACCAAUCUUAGGCUUGUAUUGCUCUAGUUCGGCCAGAAUAUGGGCCACGAAUUGCUGGUAUAGAUUAUGUUGAAUCUGGCAUGGAUAAACUUUACAACUGAAUCAGUAAUACCUAAUAUCACUCUAAAAUCAGAAAAUACACCUCUAUUUAGAAUAGUAUUCCUCUUUUCCCACAAAAACCAUAGAAUAAAAUUAGGAAUAACCUGACAUACUAAUUUCACUUUAUAAUUUCCUUCAACAUCCCACCACAAGCUUAUAGAUUGUUUUAGAUUAAGCAUAGGAUCCAAGAUCCCUGAUGCAUAUCUAAAGUAGUUCCAUAUUCUAGUUGUCGUUUCUCCCUUAAGAAAGAGAUGUUCAAUAGUCUCUUCUAUAGGAAUAGCACAACAUCUGCCGUCACUUUAGCAAUCAGGAUUUCAUGUGCAUUAAAGAUGCUACAUGGAUUUUUCCAGACCAAAUACUCCACACCAAGAAUGAAAUUUUGAAGGGAAUUUCUUUUAUCCACAAUUUUACCAUGUCUUCAACUUUGUCUUUCUUGUUCCUCAAAAGUUCCCAAACCGAUUUUACUAUGAAUUUACCAUUGCUGGUUUCAGUCCACCAGGCUUUAUCAGCUCGAUUACUAAGAUAAGCAGGAUACAAAUGUGCACAUCGGAUACAUGUAUAUGUAGAGGACCCAAAUUAGACCAAUUAUCAUACCAUAUAGAAGAGGUGUUGCCUCUAGGUUCCCACCACAUAUGUUUUUCCAAAAGUUCUCUAUUUUCCAGCAUGUGCUUCCAUAUUUGGGACCCUCCUUUCCAUUGAGCAAGUGCAGGAAUUUGCUUCUUACAAUACUUAGUCCACCUAAAGUUACACCACAUUGUAUUUCGUGUUCUGAAAUUCCACAAAAGUUUUGCAUACAUAGCCUUCGAUAAAUCGAACAUGGACCUAAAUCCCAAACCUACUUCAAUUUUAGGAAGACACACAUCUAUCCAUUUCAAACCAAUGUUUAUUUCUACCAUCUUCCUUAUUGCUCCAGUAGAAUUUAGCAAAAAUUCUAUGAAUUUCUUUUAUCACACACAUUGGAGGAGUAAUAGCAGAAAGUACAUAGAUGGGAAUGCUUUGAAGAACACUUACAAGAAGAACUUCCUUACCCCCAUAUGAGAGCAUUCUACCUUUCCAGCUCUGUAGUCUACCUUUUCUCUUAUCAAGCAGUUCUGAAUAAUGCUCCUUUCUCUCUGGCAUGAGUAAUGGGGCAUCCUAGGUAUUUCAUAGGAAAAUUUCCUCUUACCAUCCCCGUAAUCUGCUCCAUCUGUUUAGCCACUGCCACUGCUACAUUUUGGUGAAGAUAAUAAAAACUCUUGUUCUUGUUAAUCCUCUGACCUGAUUGUUUCUUAUAGUCCUACAAAAUAGACAUAAUUUUCUCUAGAGAAUAUCCAUUAGAUGAAGUAAAAAUAAUUGUGUCAUCUGCAAAUGCUAAAUGAUUAAUGUUGGCACUUCAUUUUGUCAAUCCAUAAUCAACAUACUGGGGAUCCAUGUUUAACACCCCUAGUUGAAUGGAUGAAACCAUGUGAUUGACCAUUAAGAAGGAUUGAAUAGUAGUUGUUAGCAAGAAGUCUCCAAAUCAAAUCAACCACACUAUUCGAAAAACCCAUUUUCCUUAGUACUUUCAUAAGAAAGAACCAAGAAACCCUAUCAUACACCUUUGACAUAUCCAACUUAAUGAUCACAUUCUCAGGUUUGCCUCUCUUAGUAAUAUAUGUAACAAGCUCUUGUGCCAGUAAUACAUUCUCAAUAAUGCUUCUACCCUUAUCAAAGCCAGACUGAUUAGAAGAAAUCAAUCUUGGAAGAACCUUUACCAAUUUAUCAUGAAUUAUCCUGGAAAGAAUCUUGUUAAUAAAGUUACUCAGACUAAUAUGUCUCAUAUCCAAAAAGGACUGAAUGUUAUCCUUUUUAGGUAUAAGAAUCAAAUUAGUGUGAGUAAUGGAUUUAGGUAACGAACUUCCUGCAUAGAAUGUCUGCACCAUUCUACAAAUAUCUUUACCAAUGAUAUCCCAACACACGUGAUAGAAUUUACCUGUAAGACCAUCUGACCCACUAGAACUAUCACCAUUUAGCUUAUAUACUGCAUUCUUCACUUUAUCUUCAUCUGGCACAACCCCCAAUUCAGCAUUCUCCUCUUCAGUGAUCAACUCUGGGAUGUGCUCCAGUAGAGUAAUAUUUGUUUCAUCCCUAUCUUGGUGGAAUUGACUCUAGAAGUGAUUCACUGCCUCAUUAGCAAUAUCCUCCUCAUUUUCCAGCCACUGCCCCUGUGAAUUCUACACUCUAGAUUCUCUCAUUUUUUGUCUUCUUCCUUUCAUCGAGCUAUGAAAGAAUCUUGUAUUUCUGUCCCCACUUUCAAACCAGGUAUAUCCUGCCUUUUGUUGCCAAAAUUUCUCCUCCAAGUGGAGAUAACUAGAAUAUUCAGCUUUGGCCCUUUGCUUAAUAGCUCUAUUUUCCGGAGAAGGAAACUCUUCAAAAUGUUUUUCCUUUAUUCUAGCUAUUUCCUCUCUAAUAAUGAGUUGUUGAAAGAUAUCCCCGAAAGUAUCCUUUCUCCAUGAAGAAAGAGCAUGUUUUACUUUCUUUAUCUUCCUCUUAAAAUCCCAAAAAGGGUUUACUGAGAUUGCAUCAUCCCAAUUCAACCUGACCACCUCUUUAAAUCUUCUAUGCUCCGUCCAAAAAUUUAAAAAUCUAAAAGAUUUAAUGAAUCUGAUUUCCCUAGUUUCACAUGAAAGUAGGAGUGGGGCUUGAUUAGAGCCGGUUCUGGGAAGAUGCUCCACUUCUAUAAAAUUGAAUUUACUCUGAAGCACAUCGUUCACCAAAAUUCUAUCUAAUCUCUCAAAGAUGCAGUCACUUCGUACCCUACCAUUCCACCAAGUAAAAGGGCUACCUUUGAAUUGAACUUGAUAUAAAUCGUUAGAUUCUAUACAAUUUUGAAAGUCUUCCACCUCAAUCCCCAACACUGGCAGACCACCUAUUUUUUAUCCCCCAUUAAGAACCACAUUGAAAUCUCCUCCUAUGAUCCAUGGUUGAUCCAUACCACUAGCAAGUUGAGCUAUAUCCUCCCAAAGCUCUUAUCUCUGAUUUGGGUCACAUUUAGCAUAAACAAUAGUAACGACACUAGUAAAAUUAGUGGCCAAAUUUUUAAUCUGUACGGUAUAUUACUGAUCAGAGUUGCUCAAUUCUACUACCUCAAAGCCAUGAUUAACAAACAACCAAAUCUUUCCAUUAUUGUUUGCAUACCUUUUUUCCAUUCUAAGCCUUCUGGUGAAUCUAUUCAAACAUCUCACAUGCUGGAAUGGUUCCAUCAAAGCAUCAAAAUUGAAUUUGUGAAAAUUAUGUAGCAACUGGACUCUUUGAAAAGCAUUUUGAGUCCUUACUGACCUUAUAUUCCAAAUGAGUGCUUUCAUAGGGAAUAUUGUUGUUUAUUAGUCACCUGCCUUUUGGGCUGAAUUCUGAUGUGUUGAUUAGAAUCUCCACUACCAUGCUUUCUCCCUUUUCUUUCCGACUUCAUUACUUUAGUACUUUUGGGAGAAAGAUCUGCUUCACUAUAAAUGUGAUCAUCUAUAACCUCUGAUUCAUUGUUAUUUAUUUGCAUCUGCUCUACUUCUGACUCUUUGUGUAUAAGAAUUUCAUGCAGAACCUCAUUUGGAGAUUGAGGUAUCUCUAUUUGAGUACUAUCUGCACUCACAAUUGUAGAAUAGUCCACAAUAGCUCCAUCAUUGCAUUCAUCUAUUUCCCUGUCAAUCUUCUCAUUUUUGCGUUCAUAUGCUUGCUGAUUUUCACUUUUAUUGUUUGUCUUCUUUUCUAUCCUUAUUUCACUCACUUGCAAUUGAUUAUCUGGUUGAUUUACAGGGUUGUUGGAGUUUGCACAAGAUGAUUCUGAAUUAGUUGAAGGCAUCUUCAUUAAUUCCCUUUGCUUUUUCGAAUUACCGCCUUUUUCGUGUGAACUUAUGUUUAUUGGACUCUUGUUUAUGAUAUCAUUUUCUUGGUUAUCUUCAUUUCUGAUUGCUAAUGUCUCAACAGGUUCUUCUUGCACUUUCCCACUCACUUUAUUAGAAAUAUGAUCCCCAGAUUCAGUUGCGUACAUUCCUUUUUUUUGUUUUUCACCUUGUACUACUGGACCAAAAGACUUUGUGACCCAUUUUUUUGUUGAUUCACCUUUGUUAGCAUCAA